GGCUUAGCUUUGUAUGAGCUCCAUUCUGAGAACCUGGGAGGGUGAGUCUGUGCCAAUAUCCUGCUGUGCUGCGGGAUGGAGCCCAGCCUUGAUCUUUUGGGUUGCCACCAGAAUAAAGCUGCAGAUAGAAAAUGUGUGGGGGGGGAGAGUGGAAGAAGGAAUCUCAGAGGGGAAGAAAGGACCUCCAGCUUCAAUUUGAGACAAUUUUACAAGAAAGAAAAAGUUUACCAACCUUUGGUUUCGAACAUGAACAAGAGUUCUGCCAGUCUGACGUGUACUUUUGAUCAGUAAUUUGCCCAUGGUCAGACACACAUUUCUCUCUUGUUACCCAGGCUGGAGUGCAAUGGCAUGAUCUCGGCUCACCGCAACCCCCAACUCCUGGAUUCAGGCAAUUCUCCUGCCUCAGCCUCCUGAGUAGCUGUUGAAGCCACCUCUGAAGCAUCUCAAAUCUGUCCAUUAUUAUUUCACCAUCUCUUCUGUCAAGAUCCACAUCUUCAUUUGAAUAUUGAGGAAUCAAACCAAGAGUUUAUGGUGAAAAGUGAAGAACUCUACGACUCCCUCAUGAAUUGCCACUGGCAGCCGCUGGAUACAGUUGACUCAGAAAUUCCAGAUGACACCCCAAAGUGAAGCAAGAUGUUCAUUAAGCUCCCCAGUUAUCAUAUUAAUUGUGUCUUCUUUUGUUUAGGGAAAAAAGUAGUUCUCCCAGGAAGGUACUGGAUUCUGUAUAUGAAAACUAGCAUCCAGGGCUUAUGUGUGAUUGACAUAAGAGAACAUUAAUGUAAAUAAACUUCACCAGCACAUCUGUUCCUGGAAGUGUGUUAUAUUAGGUAAGUGUCAGAAGAGCUCAUGUGGUGAUCAUGGUAGAACAAGCUGUGAUACAAAACCCUCGGAAAAUAGGUUUAAUAUGAGGUGGGUUUGAGCUGAACUGAUUGUGGCAUUGCCUACUAUGAUAUGAUUCGCUGCUUUCUGUAACUUCAAACUCUCUUAGAAAUUAUAUCCAUAGGCAAUGUAAGGUUCCUUGCUUCUGUCUUGUCUAGAAAAUGUUAGUUAGAACUGGAUGCUUGAUCUCCAUUUCCUGGCCCCAUGAGAGAGAGCUAAAGGUGGUGGUAGAGACUCAAUUGAACAGAAAGAUUCCUAAGCAUCAGGCUGGGCGUGGUGGCUCACACCUGUAAUUCCAGCACUUUGGGAGGCUGAGGUGGGAGAAUCAGCUGAGGUUGGGAGAUUGAUAUCAGCCUGACCGACAUGGAGAAACCCUGUCUUUACUAAAGAUACAAAAAUUAGCUGGGUAUGGUGGCACAUGCCUAUAAUCCCAACUACUCAGGAGGCUGGGGCAGGAGAAUCGCUUGAACCCAGGAGGCAGAGGUUCAAGUGAGCUGAGAUUGUACCAUGGCACACCAGCUUGGGCAACAAAGUGAAAUUCUGUCUCAAAAACAACAAAAACAAAUCAACAACGAAAAAGCAUGGAAAAGGUUUGCUUGAUCCAAACAACCUGUCAUCUUUCUAAGAUAGAGGAAUUAGGCCCUCACAAAAGCCAGCCAAUGUGUAUAUCGACUGUGUUCCUUAUAAGAUUUUUUUUUUUGUCCUGAAAUAAUCAUUGUGUCCUGAUACUUAAGUGACCCCAGGGACUGAUCUGACUGAGUUGACCACUAGAAGGCUGAUUGCUUAGAAGGAAGUUGAUCAGACUGUGGGCAAAGGCAAUCUGACAUCUCUUCUGCUCUGAAGGUGCUUGACAGAUGCUAAUCCUUGCGUUAACCAGGUUCAAAGACCUGAAACCUGGGUGGAGAGCCAGGUGGGCUGAAGCCACUAUAAAGGAGCUUCUUCUGCCCCGUGGUUUCUCAACCUUGGCACUAUUGCCAUUUGGGGCUGGACGCAUCUUUGCUGUGGGAGACUGUCUUGCACGUUGUCCUGACCUCUACUGCUAGAUGCCAGAGGCACCCUGCACUACAGUGGUGACAACCAAAAUGUCUCUAGACAUUGCCAAAUGUUCCCAAUGUUUUGUAUCUUUAGUAAAGACAAAAUUGUCCCCCCCCACACACACACAAUUGAAAACCACUGGAAUAGGGCAAUGUUUUCAAACUAGGGUGUAUCAGAAUCUCCUAGAAGGCUUGUUGAAACACAGAUUCUUGUGCACCAUCCUGAGUUUGAUUCAAUAAGUUUUGGGUGGAACCUGACGAUUUUCAAUUCUCUAAAAAGUUUCUGGAUAACAACACUCUGAAAACCACUGGCACAGGGAUAUUCUCAACUAGUUCAGCUUAGUUCUACCUAGAACAGAGGGUGAAGUUCUGCUUUCACUCUUCCCUCCUUAAUACAAGCUGUGCAAGUCCCUACUUUCCUACAAGGCCUGGCUUGAUCAGCCUUCCUCCUCUAGCCAUAUGUUUUGGGGACCAGCACUAUAUUCAGCUCCAGGGAAUGGCUUUCAUAGCAUCUGAGUCAUGUGUAGUAAUCCCAUUCUUGUUGCCAGUGAUCAGUGAAGACAUCUGAUAAAAUUCUGGCUAACAAGAUGUGAGGUGAUGUUUUCUCAUUUUUAAAAGGAGGAACAAAAAAAGAGACAGCUGCAGUCUCGUACUGAGCAUUAGUUUUAGAUGUGAUGCCUGGUACUGUGGCAGACAUACUGUGACUAUCAGGAAAACAAUCUUAGGGUAGUGCUGAUGCACCUGGGAUGGCAGUGAAGGGUGAUGGAAAGACCCUGGAUCCAUGAUAAUGGCUUCGAAGCUGUUGAAUUAGCCAACCCUGGAUUCUCUCUUAUCUGGACUUAGGUGUAAUCCAUUCUGAAUUUUUGUUAUUUCUAGCAAAGUAUCCUGACUCUAGCAUGGAUAGAUACAGAUAGCAUGUGUGUAGAGCUGUGCUGUCUGAUAUCACAGCCACUAGCCACAUAUGGCUAUUAAAUUUCUAUUUAAGCAAAAUUAAAACUUUGCUUUUCCUUUUGCACUAGGUACAUUGCAAGCGUUCAGUAGCCACACGUUGCUAGGGGCUACCGUAUUGCGUAGCACUGGUCUUACAGGACUUAGAGGUAAGACCAGUGCUACGCAAUACGGUAGCCCCUAGCAACAUGGUAGCCCUGAGAUUAGGUUAGGUGGAUUCUCAAUUUUUCUUCACACUCUUUUUUUAAUUGUCCCCCCUCUAUAAGAUUUUAAUUCCAUAUUUAUUAUAUAUGCUCUAUGCCUGUUCCUUACACAUUGGAAAAAGUAAGACUUAUCCCCUCUCUAUUCCUCCAGAACCAAUUUUCACCUCCUUGGAGGUUGAUACUGUUCCCUGUUGCAAAUACAUGGCUAGUGUGGUAGUCAUAAGUAAGUUUAGGCAGGGAUUUUAGGUCACUGUAAAGAAUUUGGAUUUUAUUAAAAUUAGGAGACAAUGAAAGAAUUUUAAGCAUAGGAUUGGCAUGGUCAGUUUUGCCUUUAGAAAGUUACUUGAAAGGCAGAGGGGCCAAGAUAGCUGAUUAGAAGCAGCUGCAGUGCUCAUGGAGAGGAAUGAAAGUGGCGAGUGAAUUUAGCACCUUCAACUGAAAUAUCCAGGUUCUUGCAUUGGGACUGAUUAGGAAAACAACUGGACCCACAGAGAACAAAGAAAAGGGUGGGGUGAUGACCCAAUUGGGAACAGCCUGGGUCCAAAGGAACCCCUGCUCCCAGCCAAGGGAAGUGGUGAGUGUGAGUGGUGCAACCCCACUCAUGAAACCACACUUCCCCCAUGGAUCUUUGCAACCUGCAGAUCAGGAGACCCCUUGUGAGCUCAUACCACCAGGAGCCUUUUAAACAUAUGAAUGUAUGCUGAUGCUUUCAUUUUGUCCUGAGCUCCCUCAUCACACCCUAAAUCCAGAUCUUCUUAAUCAAGCUUCAUCAAGUUCUGCAUGCCAUGUUAUAUGCUGCCCUACCAAACUGAGUUUAACAAUGCUGCCCAAAACCUUAGAAGCAUUAUCUAACUGCUAACUUCUAUUCAUUCUCAUCAAGCCUUAUUGUGUGAUGCUAUGCCCCUUACGGACAUACACACUGUAUGUCAUUCAAUCUAAAAUUCUACUAAAUGUAAGUUCCAUAAUUUCUUGUACCACUAAGAAAUAUAAAACCUUGCCAAUUAAACUAUGACAAUACUUUGUUUAA